AUGACCUUAAUAGAUUUCACAGAGCUGAGCGAUGAUAACAUUAUUGACUUGAGCAGCGAUGAGGAGACUGUUCAAGAGGAUCAGAUUGCAACUCAACACCGGGCGAUGUUGCUUGAUAAGCAGGGUGUGUUUUUCCUUGCUGGUGAAGGAAGCCAAGGGGUGCAUGCCGUGUUUGUUGCAGCUGGUGAAGGAAGUCAAGAUGACCAUGCCGUGUUUGUUGCAGCCAAUGAAGGAAGUCAAGAUAGGCAUGCUGUGUUUGUUGCAGCUAGUCAAGGAAGGCAAGAGGCUUCUGAGCCCGGACAUGCUUUUGAAGCUACCGCAUCGUCCAUGAUUAUGGAGGAGGCACCUCUUGUUGCAGCUAGUCAAGGAAGUCAAGAUGUGUAG
rnacentral:rRNA from 1 species